rnacentral:misc_RNA from 1 species
AAGAAUUAAUGGGGGAUGAACAAUGCAGUAACACAUUAUCGUUUCACCAUAUUAAACUGAAUCCUUACACAUCCUUGUUUUCAAAUCAAAGCAAAGAAACAAUUCAUAUACCAAAUAUUGUGAAAGAGAGCAGCUCAGAUCGAAUCUGUAUAUCACAAGCACAGCCAGAGGACUGGUGAUAUUUAGCCCCACAACAUAGGUUACUGGGGGAAUUAUUUGAGAGUACAUAAAUAUUCUGUAAAAGCUUUCUUUUCCCUCCGAAAGGAAGACUUACUGAAGGGGGUUUCCGAGUAUGUAAAUGACACUUGUAUUACGCUAACGUUGGUUUCUUUGGAACAUAUUUUCAUCACAAUGAGGGUCAAGCCAAUCCUUGGGGGAAUUCUUUGAUCCUGCAGCCAUUUUUCCACCCACAAGCUCUCUCAAGUGUUCCACCUUAUUCUCACGACCACUUCCGCUGUACUUCUUGUCUGCUUCCUUCAGUUUCUGUCUAAACUUCUGCUUGCGAUUAUUAGCAGAACCAAGCUCUUGUUGCUUUGAUUGUGAAGGAGGAGCACCGUGAGGUCCAAGAUAUAUAUUCUCUUCUUUCUUAGACUCAGCUGCAACUGUCUUCGACUCUUCAACUUCAACUAAAUUACUGUUAUUUUGGCCAGAAUCUUCAAGUUCCAAGCUUGGAAUUACAUAUCCUUCAGUGUCCCACUCGUCAUCUUCGAUUGAAGGAGCGGUUUGCACCGAAGACUGGUCCAUUUGGUGCAGCUGACGAUCAUCGAUUUCACUGCAACGCCGUCGCCGUCGCCGCUCGAUUCUCCUCAGAAGUGAAUCAAAGCACGCAACUAUAGCUAUAAGAUUACAUCAAAAUCGAA